CCGUGUGGCACAUCUCCAUUGUUCUAACUCACUCAUCCAUAACAGCUGGAGACCCAAGCAAGAUGGUCAGAAUGGGGAGAUUCACUUUGAUGUGGUUCCUCCUGUCUGCAGUCUGUAAGGGAGGCACCCCCUGAGACUUGCCGCUGCCAGAUAGUCUCAUUGCUGACACUGAGAAAACUGCAGAGAUGCCUGAGACAACUUCCAAAUAUUGUGGCAUAUAUCUGGUCUGGUCUUCAGGUAAGGAUCCUUCUGGUUCUGAUGGGGAAAAAUAGUCUUUGAUGAAUGCAUUCCCUGGGCACCUCAGAAGGUCACCACACUGACUGAGAUGGUCCUCUGGUUGGGUCUAGUCUGGUCUGGCUGCAAGUCAGCCAACUUGGUAAAUCCUUGGUGAUGGAUGUGGAAUGUUUUUGGCCUCUAAAUGAUUGCUGUUUGAAUGGCUGAAUGAAUAGUAACAUACAGUGUAAACUGUACAAUCUUCCAUCCAUUCCUGAAGACAAUGAUGAGGAAUCCCCCUCAAAGUUACGGGUUCUGAAAAAGGUCAUACUUCACUUCAUGGGCACAUCUAAGUUAAGGCCAAAUGGGUGCUGGUGUGAUGAGAUAAACAUACCCUAAAUCCUGGAUGGUCCUUCAAUGGGCUGAGAGGCCUGAGCCAGUCAACUAACUGAGGGGUUCCUCACACAGAGGACCACCCCCUUCCUUAGUCUGUUGCUACAUCAUUCAAGGGAGCACCACAUAAACACUAAGGCUUCUUUCUCUGUGUCUGGACCUCUUAUCUUUUUAUUUGUUCUUGUAGCUUCUAUUUUUGGGUAUCUCCUGCCUGCCCUAAGUCUCUCUACUAUGAGAUCAUCAUCUUCACAACCUGUUACACCCAUAGUCUUCAUGUAGUCAGUUCUGCGGCAGUCAGAAGGUAGCUGCCCCAUCCAUGUCCCCUCUACAUUUUGUUGAACAUUCAAAUGAGCAUGGGCUGUAACUUGUGGAGAGACUGCAAGUGAGUGAUUUACCAUUCCUGUGCUCCACUCAGUGGCAUCCUCUAUAAAUUCAGCCUCCAAAUAUACUUACUGAAACCCUGCUCUAAGUGCUGAGGAGAUAAUCUGGGUCCUUACCCUUAUGUGAUCACAUGGAAAAACAGAUAUAUGACAGAAGCCAAGAGCAAAGGAUACAGAGUGAAUGAUGGAAAAGAAAGCUAUGGAAAAGAAAGCCCAGAGAGGAAUGUGGACAGAUUCAGUUAUAAAUAAGAUGAUGAAGGGUAGAAUUGUUUUUGAUUGCUGAUAUUUGACAGCAGAAAGUUUGAAGCCAGACCACUGAAAGUGUCCUGGUUCAUUUGGGGACCUAGGUUUCCAGGGAAGAAUGAGGAGAUUCCCUUGGUGGAAACUAGGAGAGUGAGAGUGCUGUAUAGUGAGAGUUAGAGGUGUAGGGAGAGUGAACAGUGUCAUUUCUUAGCAGUGGAUCCUUGUAAAGGCUUAGAUGUGUACGUCUCAUGUGAUGAAGUCCUGUAGGGUUUGAGAAAAGGAUACAUUACCACAAAGCAAUAUCACUGUCCAGAGGGAAAGUUCUAGUCCCUGUGAGGUUCCAGGGCUGCAGGCAGAGCACAUCAACAAUGAAAUCUUGAAGAGGAUACUGGGCUCUCUUCAGUAAUUCAAGGCUCCUUAAAUAUCCUGCGUUUUUUCUUUGUGUGUUCUUUGCAGUGGGAUCCAAAUUUGAAAAGGAAAAAGCCUUCCUCAUUUAUGACUAUUGUACCAUUAUAUUUGCACUAUCCUCAUAUUGAUGAGGCUGAUAAAAAUAGAAAAUUGUAAAAGGCUCUGAUAUCAAAGACAGAGGCCUCCUGUAUGAAAUCAUUUUGUCCCAUGACCUUUUCUCUUCCACCUUCCCUCCCAAGGACAGAGAAAUCUUGCACAAUCUUUUUUUCCAAAGUCUCUGUAUUUCUUUCAUUGCACCUCUUACAAUGGACAGCUAAGUCCCUGCCUUGACUCUGCUGUCACUAAGUUUGCAAUUAAAAUAGCAAGCUCAAAAAAAAAAGAGAUGAGACUGUGCUUAGACUGUGUAUUUUACCUUCAUUCCCUUAGAGUCUUUUCCAGUGUGUUUCACAAUUGACUAAGUAAAGCCAGAGAGAAGCUAGGGUGCUACUGCAAUAAUUUUAAAAGUGAAAUGAUUGUUUCUCCUUCCAGGACAGUAAGAGAAACUGUUGAAGUAGACUCCAAAU
rnacentral:lncRNA from 1 species